UUCUGAUACCAUGUGAGAAUGCACGGGAGAAAAAUAUUAUUGAUAUAUUAUUUACAAUGCUACAAUGAGCCCAAUAUCUACACACAUAACAUAUCCUACUCCUAAUACAUAUAGGAUUAGGGUGAUUCACUCCUAUUUACACUAUUAUUCUAACAUCAAAUAAUACAAAAAUAAAAUCCAGCUACUGAAGAGUGCAAAAGGUACUAUGGCUCUUCAAUU
rnacentral:lncRNA from 1 species